CUUGGUCAUUUAGAGGAAGUAAAAGUCGUAACAAGGUCUCCGUUGGUGAACCAGCGGAGGGAUCAUUACCGAGUUUACAACUCCCAAACCCCUGUGAACAUACCACUUGUUGCCUCGGCGGAUCAGCCCGCUCCCGGUAAAACGGGACGGCCCGCCAGAGGACCCCUAAACUCUGUUUCUAUAUGUAACUUCUGAGUAAAACCAUAAAUAAAUCAAAACUUUCAACAACGGAUCUCUUGGUUCUGGCAUCGAUAAAGAACGCAGCAAAAUGCGAUAAGUAAUGUGAAUUGCAGAAUUCAGUGAAUCAUCGAAUCUUUGAACGCACAUUGCGCCCGCCAGUAUUCUGGCGGGCAUGCCUGUUCGAGCGUCAUUUCAACCCUCAAGCACAGCUUGGUGUUGGGACUCGCGUUAAUUCGCGUUCCUCAAAUUGAUUGGCGGUCACGUCGAGCUUCCAUAGCGUAGUAGUAAAACCCUCGUUACUGGUAAUCGUCGCGGCCACGCCGUUAAACCCCAACUUCUGAAUGUUGACCUCGGAUCAGGUAGGAAUACCCGCUGAACUUAAGCAUAUCAAUAAGCGGAGGA
rnacentral:rRNA from 1 species